GGGUUGUUGGUCCAACGGUUAGGACGCUUGAUUGUGGUUCAAGAGACAUGGGUUCGAUUCCCUUACUUCCCC
rnacentral:tRNA from 1 species